GCCCGAAAUGGGAAGUUUUGUGAACCUUAACACUUAGAGGAAGGAGAAGUCGUAACAAGGUUUCCGUAGGUGAACCUGCGGAAGGAUCAUUCACACGU
rnacentral:rRNA from 2 species